UAGUCCCCUUCAGUUGAGAGAUCCCUCAAAUAGUAUUAUUUGAGGGAUGGGGCGCUCAGCCAUUGGAUGCCUUUUAAUGAGAUUGUGCGGCUGUGAUUGUUUUAAAAGUUGUAACCCGUUUUCACUCAAAUGACCCGCAAAAGACCGAAGUCAAGCACACACGCAGAAGGGGAAACGAAGGAAGAGGAAGAGCCAGCCUUGCAAGUUGAAGGGCAGAUCCACCAUCGCCAGCUGAAGAGUGGACCCGACAAUCAGGCUAUAUGGCUAAACCGAACGAGACGAUCAUUUUUGCCCGCAAAUGUUAAGCUUGGCUUUAGUAGACGGAGGCCGUGGCUCAGAGUUUCUAUGAAAUCAUGAUCUCAUUUAUGUUUUAGUGAUACUUCUUUUGUUAAGCGUGUAAAUUGUAUCUCAAUGCCUUAGAUUAGGUGAUGUAAAUCUAAAGUUUGUUUUAUCACACUUGGGACCUGUAAUUAUCAACGUUUGAUGGUUGAAAGAGCUUCAUGGCAGUUUAGAGCUAUUCAAA